UAGUCCACGCCCUAAACGAUGCUAACUCGAUAUUUGUCGUAAGAUGAGUGUCUAAGCGAAAGCGAUAAGUUAGCCACCUGGGGAGUACGUUCGCAAGAAUGAAACUCAAAGGAAUUGACGGGGGCCCGCACAAGCGGUGGAGCAUGUGGUUUAAUUCGAUGAUACGCGAGGAACCUUACCAGGGCUUAAAUGUAGAGUGACAGGUCUAGAGAUAGACUUUUCUUCGGACACUUUACAAGGUGCUGCAUGGUUGUCGUCAGCUCGUGCCGUGAGGUGUUAGGUUAAGUCCUGCAACGAGCGCAACCCCUAUCAUUAGUUGCUAACAGGUUAAGCUGAGGACUCUAAUGAGACUGCCGGUGCAAACCGAGAGGAAGGUGGGGAUGACGUCAAAUCAUCACGGCCCUUACGUCCUGGGCUACACACGUGCUACAAUGGCAGGUACAGAGGGCAGCUACCCCGCAGGGGAUGCGAAUCUUCAAAGCCUGUCUCAGUUCGGAUCGC
rnacentral:rRNA from 1 species